rnacentral:misc_RNA from 1 species
GAUGAAGAACGUAGCGAAAUGCGAUACGUAAUGUGAAUUGCAGAAUUCAGUGAAUCAUCGAGUCUUUGAACGCACAUUGCGCCCCCUGGUAUUCCGGGGGGCAUGCCUGUUCGAGCGUCAUUUCACCACUCAAGCCUCGCUUGGUAUUGGGCAACGCGGUCCGCCGCGUGCCUCAAAUCGUCCGGCUGGGUCUUCUGUCCCCUAAGCGUUGUGGAAACUAUUCGCUAAAGGGUGUUCGGGAGGCUACGCCGUAAAACAACCCCAUUUCUAAGGUUGACCUCGGAUCAGGUAGGGAUACCCGCUGAACUUAAGCAUAUCAAUAAGCGGAGGA